AGAGGGCCUAUGGCGUUGGGCCCAAGUCAAUCAGAUUUGUAUAAAACCCUUGUCGCAGGAAACCCCACCUCCACCAACAAAUACUGUAAUCUCUGUCACCUCCAUUUCCUCGUGCCCUAGAAAAUCAACAGAUGGCGAAAUCAAGCUCGGCGAAAUCGGCUGGUAUUGUAUUUGGAGCCUUGGCUUUCGGCUGGCUCGCGAUUGAGCUGGCGCUCAAGCCGUGGCUCGUCAAGGCCCGAUCCGCCAUGGAUGACUCCGACCCGGACGAUUCCGCCGCCGCCAAACCGACCGUCAAACCUGCCGUUGACGAAGAUGUUGAAAAGACAGAUACCGUUGACGAAGAUGUUGAGAAGACAGAUGAUUAGUAGUACCAGGUUGUUUUUUAUUAAUUGAUUUUGCAGGUGGAUUUCAAAAUUAAGCUUUCAUGGUCUAGUUUUUCUCUCUUUAGGUUUAGUUACCCUGUUAAUCAAAAUUACUAAUUGCAAUUGUUAACUAUCAACAGCUAUGCACUUUGCUCAAUUCAAUGUUUUUAUUACCAGUCAUAUCAAUUUCUGUUCCAGUUCAUCUAAGCAGAAUGCAUCUUAAUUACGGCCACCCGGGAAUUACAUCCACCCCUCAAUUAUGUAUUAUCUUACGAAAAUACAGGUAAAUUUCGGGAUGUUAAAUCGGUUAACCGAACCGAAAUUUCGGUACGCCAACAUUUCAUACCGUUUAACGAACUAAAUAUACGGGUGAUUGUAAUUACCCAAACAAAGAGGGAGUUUUUCGUAAUUUGACCAUAUCCCUUAGUUUGCCCUAAUUUUUUUCAAGUGUUAUAUUUAUCUUAGUUGAGUUUUUGAAGAAUGAUACUAUCUUCAAAAGCAGAGCAAUACCAGGCAACACAAACUAAGAAAUAAUGACUAAAAUUUAGUAGGAAUGGCAAAAAAAAAAAAAAUAAAUCCCUUUUAAUUUAUUUAUUUCAAUUACAAGUUACAACUCAAGAAAUGCAUAAAUAAAAAACACAAGCAUGUGCAACGUUGCCAAUUAGUCUAAUAAUUUAUACCGGAUGGAAUCGAGUUUUACACGAAGGGAUAGUUCUCAUACCUCAUGGUACAAUUAGCCAUCCCAACCUGGCCACCAAUGUAGCCACCGCAUGUGGUGGAGAAUGUGGCUCUUGCCGCCACCAAACAGGUGGCGCAAUCGGAGUUGGCUAGUGAUUUGUUGCAAGUUGCAUGGCCAAAGGCGGUGGAUCUCGGGUACGGUGAUACGGUGUAUCGAUUGUAUCCUUGUUGAGAAGGCGUUAGAUUCAUUAGAUCAGCAAAAACGUAGGCCACACUGUCUGCAAAUGGGUCGUUUUGUGCGUAAGUUUGUAGGCUGCAAGUACGAUAGUUUAAGGUCGUGUGUGGUUCGUUCUUCACCACGGUAAAUAUGUCCAUAAUUACCAAUGUGAUCAUCAUGAUUAUAAUGGUCCUGGAUCUCAUUUUCGGGUUUUUUUUUUUGCUUCUAUUUUCGAUUAUUUUGUGGGUUGUGGUAAGUUAUGCGACCAAUUAAUUCGAUUGAUAGUUAUAUAGAGUAUGGAUGCUUUGGUUUGUUCACCAUUUUUUGCCAUAUGCACAAAGUUGCAUUUGUUUGUCCUUUUUGAAGCAAUGGUUUCAAGUUUUGGCAUCAACGCGUUGAGGGGGAAGAAAUUAAUAUUGUAUCAUCAUAUGUAUCUUACUUGCAUAAUUGUUAUAUCACGUAUCAUCACACAUAGGGGUGUAAAUCAGACGGAAUGGAACGGAAAUGACUUUUUUUGAAAAUUUUCAAAAAAUUUCGGAAGUAAAAAAUGCGGUCCAAUUUCCGUUCCAAAAAAAUCGGAAUGCAAAAAUUCAUUCCAAUUUCGGAAUGCUUCGGAACCGGCUGAAUUUCGGAAAUUACAUUACUUUAUAAUCUCUUAUUCCAAAUUUCGGAAAUUACAUUACUUUAUAAUCUCUUGUUUUCUAUCUUUUUUUUAUUUUUGCAGAAAAAUGUAAGAAAAUUCAAAAGAGAGUUCGAAAAAUAUAAUAAAUAAAAACACAUGUAGGAAUAAUGACUUGAAACAUGUAUUUUCUUAUGAGGAAAAAUGCAACAUAACCAAUUACUCUUUUCUAAAAUUUUAAUUUACUUGACCCUGUCGGUAUUUAUAUUUUUCAUUUAAAAUAUAACCAAAGUUAUGUUGUAGAAUUAAAAAAAAUAUAGCAUAAAAUUAUAUUAUAUAUUUUAAAAAACCAUUAGAAUAUUUAGAACUAAAUUGGAUCGGAAAUCGGAAUCUCCGGUAAUUUUGUAUAUUAUUCUAAUUCCGUUCCAAAUAAAUUUGGGAGAAUCGGAAAUUGAAACUUUCUAAAUCGGAAUAAAAAAUAUGGUUCCAAAUUCGGUUAUUUUCAGAACAAAAUUGGCGGAAUUCGAAAAUUCCAUUUCGAUUUCCGCCCCUAAUCACACAUUUACUUAAUGGGUCCUGGUUAGUUUUACGAUGUACAUGGGCUUAAAAUAUAAUUCAUUGAAAAUCUAUAAUUAAAAAUAGGGCGAAUGGCAAAAAGGCUCAUCACAUGGGACUUAAAUGCAUUUUGGUCCACCAAAAAAACAGUCUCUCAAUUAAAUCAUCCCUAUGUCUUUAGUCUAAAAUACCCUCCAUAAUAUAUUUCUUAUCAAUUCCACCCAUUAUGCUCUAACUUCCUUAAUAUUACACAUUGACCCCGGAUUUAAACAAAUAUAUCACAUUAAUACCUUUUCAUAUGUGAUGACAAGCCGAACCAAAACAAAAUACUUUUUCUUGCAAGGUGUGAUCCGCCAUUUUUUCUACUUUUUGAUUCCCUAUAAUUUUGUUUACCUGUUCCUGGUGGUAUCAAAACACCGCUGUGUCGGGAUAUCUUAUACGUCUCUUUAGGAAAAUGGAUAUCUCCGGAAAAUAUGUGAAGUUCAAUUAUUUUUUUUCUCUCCACCGGAACCAACCUAUUUACUCGACUUCUUAUAUUUAAAGUAAGUUGUGUAUCUACCUCAAUAAUGCUAUUGUUCCGUCCAUUUGUUUAAGCGUAACGUAUAGAGUUAUACUAAUUAAAGAAAUUAAAUAAAAUCGAAAUAAAAAAAUGAAGUAACUGGAAAUAGGAUCCCGAUCAAGUCAGUCGAUAAAUCUUGAAAUGAGAUAUACCCCGAAAUAAUCACAUGAAAUUAGAUAGUUUCGUCAAAAUGAAUUCGUGUUUUGAGUAAACAGUUAUGGGGUGACUCUACAACUUCAAUUCGACUUGACCAUUCAGGUAUAUUUUCCGCGUUCAUAGGAGUGUGUCUAUGUUUUUGUAUAUAUUUCGUUUUCAUAUAUAGGAGUGUGUCUUUGUUUUUGGUUUACGAAUAUGAUAAUUUUUUGGGCAUUUAUAAUAAUAUCAAGUUUUAUUCCUAUUUUGACAUUUUUCAUUUAUGUAAUUUUUGCCCCGAUUAGAAAAGGGUCGAAGAAAUUUUCUACUUGUGAAUAGGGUAUAAAACCAAUGGGUAAUGCCUGGUUAUAAUUUAGAAUACGUUAUAUUAUAUUUGCUCUGAUUUUUGUUAUUUUUUAUGUUGAAACCGUUUUUCUAUAUCCAUGCGCAAUAAGUUUCGACGUAUUGGGUGUAUUGUAUUUAUAGAAGCUUUUAUUGUCGUGCUUAUCCUAAUUGUUGGUUUAGUUUAUGCAUAGUGAAAGGGAGCAUUGGAAUGGUCUUAGCUCCUCAACUCGGGCAUAUAUGACCGAUCAGUAGAAAGACUCCACAUUUGUCAUAUAUUCCAUACUCCAUACUGGAUUGAUUCAACUUCUAGGUGCAAACUGCUGAGUUUUCUUGAUCUUUAUCACGAAUAUAACUAAAUAAGGCUAGCCUAGAUGAUUAGGAGAGAUCAAGCUUUGCGAUCAAUCAAGAAUUUUUUUGCAAUGGACAGAAAAAUGUUGCAUCCACCUAUCAUCGCAUUAUCAACCAAUGUUUGACGUCAUCUUGAGACGCAAUAUGGAGUAAUGCUUUAUUAUUUUCAUAAGGCAUCAUAUGAAGCUUUACUUGGGGAAGUGUACCUUCGUAGUCAUUAAGGAGGAAAGUUUUUGGGAUAUCUAAUCGUAGAGAACUAGAGGCCAAUCCAGAGAAGACUGAAGCUAUAAUGAAAAAAUAUCGUCCCCUCGGACUUUAAAAUAAGUGCAGGAAUUGACGGGAUGGAUGGCUGACUAAAUCAAUUCUUAUCCGAUCAACGAAAAAAACUAUUUUUUUCAAAAUCUUUCGUCAAGGAAAGCAUUUCACCAGAUCAGAAAAAAUCCAUUUUCAAGAUUGAAGAUUUGAAGUAUAUUGUCCCUUUUAUCUAGUUGUGACAGAAACAAUAAGGGUUGUUCUUGUGAGAUAAGUGGAUCUUGAGCCCUUCUAUUAUACCACAUUAGCCGAAUUCCAAGGCACUGAGCUGCGAUAAAACAAUACAGAUAAAUUGAUUUUUUUCUCAAGUGAUAGUUGCUAAAAAGUUGUCCCCUUAUUUACAAUCCCACCAAGAAGUUUUUCUCUCAAAUCAUCUUUUAAAACAUAUAUUGUCAAGUCCUGAAGCGUCAAAAGGAUGGUCAAGUGUGCAGUUGAACUAUGUCAGAGAAUAUAUAUACAUUAAUAGGUCAUCCAAACUAAUGUUCCUGAAGAACGGGAUAAAGCUGUGUGAGAUAAUUAAUAGAUCUGUAAGUAAUGUCUAUACUAAUAUUCAUGAAGAACGGCGUGAAGGACGACUAGUAUAUUUGUAAAACACGUCCACACUAAUAUUCUUGAAGAACGGCAUGAAUUUAUGUGAGAUGACUAACAAAUCUCCAAAUGACGUCCACAUUAACAUUCCUAAAAAAUAGCGUGAAGUCAUGUGGGACGACUAAUAGAGAACAUUCACACUAAUAUUCUUGAAGAAUGACAUGAAUUUUGUGAGAUGACUAAUAGAUUUCCACAUAACGUCCACAUUAAUAUUCCUGAAAAACAUCAUGAAGUCGUGUGGACAUUUAAUAGAUCAGCAAACUAAUAUUCGUUAAGUACGGUGCGAAGUUGGAUGGGAGUUAUAAUGUCAGACUCAUUUUGUGAUUUGAAAACAUGUUGAGAUGUCAUCGAAUCAAGCAGAGAUAUUAGUGCUUCACGAGGUAGUCUGUGAUGCACAUGGUCUAAAGUCAUGGUUGGGCAUGUCUGAGGUUCAUGUGCAUUGGCUAACACAAAAGAUCCUACGAGAUUAUAUUCGAGGAUCAUUAAAAGUGAUAACACCAAGAAUAUAACUUCGAAGUUUUUUCUUCAAUCAACAACAACAAGAGCUCAAGCAAUAAUAAUACAACAUAUCAGAAGUUGGGGAUAAUUACUUAUUUUAUUUACUAUGUUUUUGCAUAAAGCCACUGUUGGAUAGCAUAUUAAAACUAUUUGGCUUGCGUAAAUUACUCGAGCUCGCUCCUUAUAAACAUACAGAGGAAGUUAACUUUGAGAUGUGGAAUACCGUGUAAGUACUCAUUAGAUACCAGGAUGUUCAGUUGUACUAUUUUUCCUUUAAGUGAUUUAUUUUUCCCACAAAAUUUUCAUUACUUGCCAAGGGUUCAACGAGGAAACACAUGUUAACUGAAAAGAUUGUGGAUUGUACUCUUCUUUUCUUUUUCAUUUUUUGCUAAACCAGAUUGUUUUCUAAUUGAGUUUUAUUAUUCGAAAGGUUUUAACGAGACAAUAUGAAAUGAACAAUAGUGGCUUGAUAGGAUUUCCAAAAGAAUCUGUUGUAAAUAAUAUAAGACUGAUGUUUUCUAACAUAACCACUUGAUGGUUCACAACUUCCGACUAGGUCUUAACUUAUUCACUUUGUAACAUUUUGUUACUUUUUGAUGGUUUAUGCCUACAUUUAUGACGAAAACUUCAUCCCAUCUAUCUCACGAUUAUCUCUCUACAUAUUACUUUCCUUUGCAUUCUCUAUUUCUAUCAUUGUACAUUGUUGUUUAUGUGAUAUUACAUUACUUUAUUUCACAAUCACCAAACCAAAUAGCUACAUAGAAUAGGUCAAUUUAGAACAAUUCCACUAAAUCAAUAAAUUAUUUUGUUCCAAUGCUAUUAAUUUAUGGAGAUUUAACUGUAUCCGAAGGAAUUCGGCUCACAACGUGCACAGAUUCUUAAUUUAUUAAGUAGCCAAAAACACUGAAAACUGAAAUAACUCAACAGGAAAAAAAAACUAAAAAACCAAAAAUAAAUUAAAGAGAUAUGAAAGAACUCGAACACCGUUUCUCCAGGGCGCACUCUAGUUUCUUCCAAGUUAUGAUAAUUAGAAAGAAUAGUUCUCAUAUCUCAUGGAACAAUCAACCAUCGAGACUUGUGCCCCAACUUUGUCAAGACAGUUGUUGGUGACGGCGGAUCUGGCGGCAAUCAUGCAGUCAGCGCAGUCGUUGUAGUUGAGGGCGGUAUUACAAGUGGCGUGCCCGUAAGAAACAGCCUGCGCGUACGGCGAUUGUGUCUUGUAGUCGUAGCCAUGGUUGGGAGUGACGUUCAUGAUGUCCGCAAGUACAUAGGCUACGCUAUUUGCGUACGCAUCGCUCUGCGCGUAACUAUUUCCAUUGCACACAAUCAGAUUCACGCUCGUGUUUGGGUCACUUUUAGCAACCAAAAGAAGGCUCAGACCAAUGAGCAAUGCAAUACUCAUCAUGUUGAAACUCUGAACAAUGGCCAUCUCUCUCUCUCUCUCUAGAUCUCUCUCUCUCUCUCUAGAGAAUUGUUUUGUUUUGCAGAGUGGGAUACUGAUGGAUAUGAUUGGCUGAGAAGUGAUGGAUACAUACAUAUUAUAUAAGGGCUUAUUGCUCAUUGGUUUGUGCUCCAUUCUUGGACUAUGUCGCCGGCUUUUCUAUUACUGUAACCUCGUUACCUCAUUUUCUUUUUCUUUUUUCAUUUAAAAUUCGGAAUUGUGUCUUGUGUGUUUUAUGUUCAUCCAUCGAGACAAACACUAACUACAUUUGCGUGAUUUUUUUUCUUCUUAUUGCAGUAUGGCAAACUGAUAGAACUACAAAUGACAAAGUAUCCUUAAUUGUCGGUUUUAAUACCAAAAACCCCACUUAAGAGACCCGGCCUUGACUUCUUCGACCGUGCACUCUGUGAUAAAACACUAGGUGGGUCUUCUGCUGCCACGUGUUUUUUUUGUAUUUUAUAAUAUAUUCCUUCGCUAUGGUUUACCUUUAGGGGUUUUAGAAAAAAAAAAAAAAAAAAAAAAAGGACACGUGGCAGCAGAAGACUCACCCGGUUUAUAUCACCGGAUGUAGGGUCGACGGAGCCACCGGCCUUGAGGGGGUCAAAAUACGAAAUUAGAGAAUAUUCCACAUAAUCUAGAAGAUUCCACUAACGUUGAAGACUAACAUUGAACUUGGUAAAAUGAAAUGUAGGAGUGCGCACGGGUCGGUACGGUUUGGUUUUACAAUAAACCAAACACGUACCGAUAAUAUCGGUUUUUCAUAUUUUAAAAACCGAAUAUGUCGGUUUUUUUCGAUUCGGUGUUAAUCGGUUUUUCGGUUUUCGGUUUUGGGUUUCGGUAUCAAUUCGGUUUAUUUUCGGUUUCGAUUUCGGUUUCGGUUUCGGUUUCGUCUAUUGGUUCGAAUCGGUUCGGCAUAAAACCGAUAUAUUUGGACUUUCAUUACAUAUAUUUAAGAAAAUUAACAAAUAACAACACAAAAUUAACUAAUAAAAAAUACGUCACAACCCAAAAUUAAUUAAUAAAAAAACAUGUCACAUGGAGGCGCUCGAGGAUAGAAGCGCGCUAGGGUAAGUGUUUAUACUAUAUAUCAAAAUGACGUAUUUUUGUAUAAAAUGGUUAUGUUCGGAUAGUCGGUUCGGUAAUUAUUUUAUUCUCCAUACACAAACCGAUAUUUUCGGUUUUUCAAAAAGAAUUUACCGUAUAUACAAUUUUAAGUCAGGACGAUGCAUAUCGACUCGAUUUUUUCUCUUCGGUUUUUUUGCUCACCCCUAAUGAAGUGGUUGAAUAAUACAGCCCAAGGAUUGACAUGUAAAAAGAUGCAUAGUUGAAUGGGUGGUUGUAAUUACCCAAAUAGGAGGCGGGUUUUCGUAAUUUGACCUUACCUCAAGAGUUGGCCCGUAAUUUACCCAAAUAUUUACAUAUAUACGUAUACAUGCAUAUAUAUAGUGCCUCAAAAAUUGGAAUCAUAUAUAAUAAAUUUCCGUCAUUAUAAUCUACGUAAAAUGAAUGUCGACGGUCAAUGUGAUUCGUUACGGUUCCUAUAACAAGUACUACAUCAAAUCACUACAUAGAAAAAAAUAAUGACUACGGUAAUUAAACGAAGCAACCAAUAUACAUACAACCCUUGCUUGCAAACCUGAGACUCUCUCGUGUUGAUAAUUUGGCAACUGGAUUGCGAAUGAUCCGUCGAUUAAGCACCAACUUCCACAAAUGAUUGAGAUUUUCUCUAUCUAUUGGACAUAAAUCAUAGUCCGUAACGCCGCAAUGCUUUAGUAAGGCUUGGCAUAACAUUGUAGGCUUGGUACGAUCUUCGCAAUUCAAUUAUCGAACCCACCUGGAUAUACCAACACAAAGACAAGUUAAGUUGAUU
rnacentral:lncRNA from 1 species